AACAUCGCGCACCUGCGGGAACCUGCGGAGGGAUCAUUACAGAGUUGCAAGACUCCCUAAACCAUUGUGAACGUUACCUAAACCGUUGCUUCGGCGGGCGGCCCGGGUCCUUCCCGGCGCCCCUCGGCCCUCGCGGGCGCCCGCCGGAGGUAAACCAAACUAUUGCAUUGUAUGGCCUCUCUGAGUCUUCUGUACUGAAUAAGUCAAAACUUUUAGCAAUGGAUCUCAGAUCGGAAGAGC
rnacentral:misc_RNA from 1 species